AAUAAUUUAUUUGAUGGUUCCUUACUACACGGAUAACUGUAGUAAUUCUAGAGCUAAUACGUGCGUAAAAUCCUGACUCUUUCUGGGAAAGGAUGUAUUUAUUAGAUAAAAAACCAAUGCGGGUUCUGCCCGGUUUUGUGGUGAAUCAUAGUAACUUUUCGAAGCGCAUGGCUUCACGCCGGCGCUAGUUCAUUCAAAUUUCUGCCCUAUCAGCUUUCGACGGUAGUGUAGUGGACUACCGUGGCGUUAACGGGUGACGGAGAAUUAGGGUUCGAUUCCGGAGAGGGAGCCUGAGAAACGGCUACCACA
rnacentral:rRNA from 1 species